rfam:Ovis aries breed Texel chromosome 2, whole genome shotgun sequence.
CCUCAUAGCUUAGUCGGUAAAGUAUCUGCCUGCAAUGCAGGAGACCCGGGUUCGAUUGCUGGGUUGAGAA